UAAUGAUGAUAAUGAUAAUGAUUAUGGUGAUGAUGAUGAUGAUGACCAUCAUCAUCAUCGUCGUCAUCGUCAUCAUCCUCACCAUCAUUAUCAUCAUGC
rnacentral:pre_miRNA from 1 species